rnacentral:rRNA from 1 species
UACAGAGGUGGCAAGCGUUGUUCGGAAUUACUGGGCGUAAAGGGCGCGUAGGCGGUCUUGUAAGUCUCGUGUGAAAUCCCUCGGCUUAACUGAGGAACUGCACGGGAUACUGCAUGACUUGAGAUCGGGAGAGGGAAGCGGAAUUCCGGGUGUAGCGGUGAAAUGCGUAGAUAUCAGGAGGAACACCAAUGGCGAAGGCAGCUCGCUGGGACGUGACUGACGCUGAGACGCGAAAGCGUGGGGAGCAAACAGG